rnacentral:rRNA from 1 species
GAUGAACGCUGGCGGCGUGCCUAAUACAUGCAAGUCGAGCGAACAGAUGAGGAGCUUGCUCCUCUGACGUUAGCGGCGGACGGGUGAGUAACACGUGGAUAACCUACCUAUAAGACUGGGAUAACUUCGGGAAACCGGAGCUAAUACCGGAUAAUAUAUUGAACCGCAUGGUUCAAUAGUGAAAGACGGUUUUGCUGUCACUUAUAGAUGGAUCCGCGCCGCAUUAGCUAGUUGGUAAGGUAACGGCUUACCAAGGCAACGAUGCGUAGCCGACCUGAGAGGGGGAUCGGCCACCCUGGACCUGGGACCCGGUCCAGCCUCCUACGGGAGGCAGCAGUGGGAAAUCUUCCGCAAUGGGCGAAAGCCUGACGGAGCAACGCCGCGUGAGUGAUGAAGGUCUUCGGCUCGUAAAACUCUGUUAUUAGGGAAGAACAAAUGUGUAAGUAACUAUGCACGUCUUGACGGUACCUAAUCAGAAAGCCACGGCUACCUCCGU